CAGAGGCACAGGAACUGAAACUGAAGAAAAUAUCUGUGGGAUUCCACAGAGGCGGAAGCUGCCGCUGGUCUGCACGUGUGAAUUUUGCCAGCGCUUUUAGGUGGCCUAGAAUGAAAGUCUGGUGCUUGUUAAUAAUGAAAGUUGAACCUAAAAUUGGCCACGUUCGAAUUCCCAAUGCCUAGCAAAUUGGAGUAUGAGGACUUAAGGCAGAAAAGAGGGGCAAAACCAGGCAAAAGAAUGUGUGGGGUCACGUUCAGCUCAUGCAUCCAGAGGAGCAAACAGGCUGCGUUUCCUCGGAGGCAGGUAAAAGGCACCGGCUCUGUGCAGUGUAUUGGCCUGGCAUGGGCCUGGCCCUACUUUCUGCUCUGCGAUCUGCCAAAUGCAACAGGGCUACAA
rnacentral:lncRNA from 1 species